rnacentral:rRNA from 2 species
CAAAAACAUGUCUUUUUGAUUUUAAUUUAAAGUCUGACCUGCCCAAUGAUUAUUUGAAUGGCCGCAGUAUUUUGACUGUGCAAAGGUAGCAUAAUCAUUAGUUUUUUAAUUGAAAGCUGGAAUGAAUGGUUUGAUGAAAAAAUAACUGUCUCUUGAUAAAUUUUAUAGAAUUUUAAUUUUGAGUUAAAAAGCUCAAAUGUUUUACGAAGACGAGAAGACCCUAUAGAGUUUUAUAUACUAUUAUUUUGACUUUGAUAGGAUUUUGAUGGAGUUUAGAUUUUAGUUUAUUUUGUUGGGGUGACAUAGAAAUUUAGCUAACUUUCUGAUGUUUUUACACUGAUUAGUGAAUUAUUGAUCCUAGUUUUUAGAUUAUAAGAUUAAAUUACCUUAGGGAUAACAGCGUAAUUUUUUUAGAGAGUUCUUAUUGAUAAAAAAGUUUGCGACCUCGAUGUUGGAUUAAAGUUUAAUUUUGGUGAAGGAGCUUAAAAUUUAGGUCUGUUCGACCUUUAAAACUUUACAUGAUCU